AUUGAACGCUGGCGGCAGGCCUAACACAUGCAAGUCGAAUGGUAACAGGAAACAGCUUGCUGUUUCGCUGACGAGUGGCGGACGGGUGAGUAAUGUCUGGGAAACUGCCUGAUGGAGGGGGAUAACUACUGGAAACGGUAGCUAAUACCGCAUAACGUCGCAAGACCAAAGAGGGGGACCUUCGGGCCUCUUGCCAUCAGAUGUGCCCAGAUGGGAUUAGCUAGUAGGUGGGGUAACGGCUCACCUAGGCGACGAUCCCUAGCUGGUCUGAGAGGAUGACCAGCCACACUGGAACUGAGACACGGUCCAGACUCCUACGGGAGGCAGCAGUGGGGAAUAUUGCACAAUGGGCGCAAGCCUGAUGCAGCCAUGCCGCGUGUAUGAAGAAGGCCUUCGGGUUGUAAAGUACUUUCAGCGGGGAGGAAGGGAGUAAAGUUAAUACCUUUGCUCAUUGACGUUACCCGCAGAAGAAGCACCGGCUAACUCCGUGCCAGCAGCCGCGGUAAUACGGAGGGUGCAAGCGUUAAUCGGAAUUACUGGGCGUAAAGCGCACGCAGGCGGUUUGUUAAGUCAGAUGUGAAAUCCCCGGGCUCAACCUGGGAACUGCAUCUGAUACUGGCAAGCUUGAGUCUCGUAGAGGGGGGUAGAAUUCCAGGUGUAGCGGUGAAAUGCGUAGAGAUCUGGAGGAAUACCGGUGGCGAAGGCGGCCCCCUGGACGAAGACUGACGCUCAGGU
rnacentral:rRNA from 1 species